UACGAAGGGGGCUAGCGUUGAUCGGAUUUACUGGGCGUAAAGCGCACGUAGGCGGUUCGAUCAGUCAGGGGUGAAAUCCCAAGGCUCAACCUUGGAACUGCCUUUGAUACUGUCGGUCUUGAGUCCGGGAGAGGUGAGUGGAACUGCGAGUGUAGAGGUGAAAUUCGUAGAUAUUCGCAAGAACACCAGUGGCGAAGGCGGCUCACUGGCCCGGAACUGACGCUGAGGCUCGAAAGCGUGGGGAGCGAACAGG
rnacentral:rRNA from 1 species